AAGUUGACGGGGGCCCGCACAAGCGGAGGAACAUGUUGGUUUUAAUUUCGAUGAUACGCGAGGAACCUUACCUGGGCUUAAAUGUAGAGUGCAUUUCUAGAGAUAGGAAUUCCCUUCGGGGCUUUCUACAAGGUGCUGCAUGGUUGUCGUCAGCUCGUGCCGUGAGGUGUCGGGUUAAGUCCCAUAACGAGCGCAACCCUUACUGUUAGUUGCCAGCGGGUCAAGCCGGGAACUCUAACGGGACUGCCACCGUAAGGUGAGAGGAAGGUGGGGAUGACGUCAAAUCAGCACGGCCCUUAUGUCCAGGGCUACACACGUGUUACAAUGGUCGGUACAAAGGGCAGCUACACCGCGAGGUGAUGCUAAUCUCUAAAGCCGGUCUCAGUUCGGAUCGAAGUCUGCAACCCGACUUCGUGAAGUUGGAUUCGCUAGUAAUCGCGCAUCAGCCGUGGCGCGGUGAAUACGUUCCCGGGCCUU
rnacentral:rRNA from 1 species